GACGAACGCUGGCGGCGUGCUUAACACAUGCAAGUCGAACGGGAACCUUUAUUUCGGUAAAGGUGAGAGUGGCAAACGGGUGAGUAACACGUAGGCAACCUGCCGACAGGAUGGGGACAACAUUCCGAAAGGAAUGCUAAUACCGAAUGAAGUCACCGGAGGGCAUCCUCUGGUGAUGAAAGAUGGCCUCUGAAUAUGCUAUCACCUGUCGAUGGGCCUGCGUCUGAUUAGCCAGUUGGCGGGGUAACGGCCCACCAAAGCGACGAUCAGUAGCCGGUCUGAGAGGAUGAACGGCCACAUUGGGACUGAGACACGGCCCAGACUCCUACGGGAGGCAGCAGUGGGGAAUCUUCCACAAUGGGCGAAAGCCUGAUGGAGCAACGCCGCGUGAGUGAAGAAGGUCUUCGGAUCGUAAAGCUCUGUUGCACGGGACGAAAACCGAGCUUGAGAAUAUUGAGUUUGGGGACGGUACCGAGC
rnacentral:rRNA from 1 species